rnacentral:rRNA from 1 species
GAGUAAUGUCUGGGAAACUGCCUGAUGGAGGGGGAUAACUACUGGAAACGGUAGCUAAUACCGCAUAACGUCGCAAGACCAAAGAGGGGGACCUUAGGGCCUCUUGCCAUCGGAUGUGCCCAGAUGGGAUUAGCUAGUAGGUGGGGUAACGGCUCACCUAGGCGACGAUCCCUAGCUGGUCUGAGAGGAUGACCAGCCACACUGGAACUGAGACACGGUCCAGACUCCUACGGGAGGCAGCAGUGGGGAAUAUUGCACAAUGGGCGCAAGCCUGAUGCAGCCAUGCCGCGUGUAUGAAGAAGGCCUUCGGGUUGUAAAGUACUUUCAGCGGGGAGGAAGGGAGUAAAGUUAAUACCUUUGCUCAUUGACGUUACCCGCAGAAGAAGCACCGGCUAACUCCGUGCCAGCAGCCGCGGUAAUACGGAGGGUGCAAGCGUUAAUCGGAAUUACUGGGCGUAAAGCGCACGCAGGCGGUUUGUUAAGUCAGAUGUGAAAUCCCCGGGCUCAACCUGGGAACUGCAUCUGAUACUGGCAAGCUUGAGUCUCGUAGAGGGGGGUAGAAUUCCAGGUGUAGCGGUGAAAUGCGUAGAGAUCUGGAGGAAUACCGGUGGCGAAGGCGGCCCCCUGGACGAAGACUGACGCUCAGGUGCGAAAGCGUGGGGAGCAAACAGGAUUAGAUACCCUGGUAGUCCACGCCGUAAACGAUGUCGACUUGGAGGUUGUGCCCUUGAGGCGUGGCUUCCGGAGCUAACGCGUUAAGUCGACCGCCUGGGGAGUACGGCCGCAAGGUUAAAACUCAAAUGAAUUGACGGGGGCCCGCACAAGCGGUGGAGCAUGUGGUUUAAUUCGAUGCAACGCGAAGAACCUUACCUGGUCUUGACAUCCACGGAAGUUUUCAGAGAUGAGAAUGUGCCUUCGGGAACCGUGAGACAGGUGCUGCAUGGCUGUCGUCAGCUCGUGUUGUGAAAUGUUGGGUUAAGUCCCGCAACGAGCGCAACCCUUAUCCUUUGUUGCCAGCGGUCCGGCCGGGAACUCAAAGGAGACUGCCAGUGAUAAACUGGAGGAAGGUGGGGAUGACGUCAAGUCAUCAUGGCCCUUACGACCAGGGCUACACACGUGCUACAAUGGCGCAUACAAAGAGAAGCGACCUCGCGAGAGCAAGCGGACCUCAUAAAGUGCGUCGUAGUCCGGAUUGGAGUCUGCAACUCGACUCCAUGAAGUCGGAAUCGCUAGUAAUCGUGGAUCAGAAUGCCACGGUGAAUACGUUCCCGGGCCUUGUACACACCGCCCGUCACACCAUGGGAGUGGGUUGCAAAAGAAGUAGGUAGCUUAACCUUCGGGAGGGCGCUUACCACUUUGUGAUUCAUGACUGGGGUGAAGUCGUAACAAGGUAACCGUAGGGGAACCUGCGGUUGGAUCACCUCCUUACCUUAAAGAAGC